GAAAGAGAGAGAGAAAAAAGGCAAAGUGAUUCCUGCAUUUGGACCAUAUUUGAAGCAAUAAAAUGCAUUAGGAUUCUCUUAAUACAUAUGGCCAAGAAGAUUUCCAGAUAGGGGAGAUUGCACAUAGGUGAGUUAUUACCAAAUUUUCAUGAUGGAUACCUAAAGAUUCAUUAUAUACUGUUCUUAAAAUAUGUAAAAUGGCAAGACAUUUUCCAUUUUAUUUUAAUGUAUGUAUUUCUUUUAUUAUUUCCUUAUUUUACAGAUGGGGUACUGCUCUGUUGCCCAGGCUGUAGUGCAGUGACACAAUCACAGCACAUUGCACCCUCAAAGUCCUAGACUCACGAGAUCCUCCCACCUUAGCCUCCAAGUAGAACUGCAGGCAUGCAUUGCAACAGCCAGCUAAUUUUUCUUUUUGAUUUUUUUUGGGGGGAUAGAGAUGGAGUCUCACUAUGUUACCCAGGCUGGUCUCAAACUCCUGGUCUCAAGUGAUCUUCUUGUCUCAGCCUUCCAAAGUACUGGGAUUACAGGCAUGAGCUGUCAUACCGAGCAAAAUUGUUCAUUUUAAAGACACUGGAUUCUGACACAAAUCUUUCUUCCAACCAAAAACCUACUGGCAACCUGCACAUUCAAUAAGUAUAUGGACAACACAUCCAAAAUCCACCAUUCUUUGUUCCUUUAUUCAUGUAGUUUGCUCCAUCUCCCCUCUUCUAUCCCAGACAUUUUAUGUAUACCUAAUUGUGCUCUAAAUUGAUAGUCAAAAAAGCCCCACUAAAAGGGCUUACUAGUAUUGAGAAACCUCCUCCAAUCAAGACUUUUUAAUUUUAUAAUAUAUUCUUAUCUGCAGAAAAGCCCUGGGCAUUCUAAGGAAGGAAGGCAUGUGAUAGGGUAACAGGGAGUGAGGCAGCUGUUUUGGGACAGGGCACACAGCCAACUAGCAUCAUGAUCUCUAUCAUAAGAGGCUCCUCCUGGUCAUGUCAAUACAGAUUUGAUUCUACUUUUCACAUGGCUGAUGAGUUACCUGGAUCUACACAUUUCAAUCUCAAUGUUCCAAAGAAAGCCUACACAGAGGAGCUUAAGCCUAGAGUCCAUUCAUUCUAAUGUUCAGAAGACCACAAUUUGAGUAGACUUAAAAACCUCAUUACUGUUGAAAACAAAUUUUGGCUCAAGUAAAAGCUAACUUUGCUCAGUUCCUGACUUUCACUUAAAAAUGUUGUUAAUGAUUUGCUCAUAUUUGAAAUCAAAAUGUUAAAACAAAUUUGGAGACACGUUGUUAACACAUACUGGUGGCCUCAAUAUUCUAAGAGCACAAAUGAGCAUGUGCAACCUCCUUAGCAUUAUGAUGUCAAGAAAACCUCUAUCCCUCCAUGUGGGUGUCCAGAACUAAUGGAUGGCCACCGGAUGCCACAAGAGGAAAUCAGGAUCACUAGAUGAGACCUCUUAGCUCCAGUCCAAGAGGCCCUUUGCUGAUUCCAACCGCAACAUCCAACAUCGGCCACUAAUUCAGCCAGCUGGUAAGAUCUGCCCUCACCUGCUGUUCUUACAGUACCUGGGGAAAGUGAGGUCUGCUGUCCCAGUCCUUGGAGGACCAGUGGGACUAAGCUGGAAGAAAUCUUGGGUAUGUCCAGUUUCUUCUCAGCUUGACGUCCUCUUGAGAAAGAGGAUUCCAGGUUUCUGUCUUUUGUCUGGGGACAACUGGAACAAAAACAGACACCCUCGGCUUCUUCUUGCCAGUCUACAUGGGUGCCAAACAAUCCCACAUUCCUCAUCCUCUCCACUGGGCUGUCUCCUUCACAACCUCGCCAAACUUGACAUAUGCAUUUAGUUUUUUAUUGCAACAUGGCCUGGACCCAAUACAAAUUAAAUAAUGACAGCUGAUGGCCCAAAAAUGGCACCUUUAACUUUCAAAUUCUCAGGGACCUUGACAACUUUAUAACCAGGAACAGUAAAUGGCAAGAGGUUCUCUAUAUUCAGGCUUUCUUCUACCUUAUAUCCCAACCCUCCCUGUGUCAAGCUUGUACCCCUCAUGAAAUCCUUUUUCUUAAUGAAAACCCUCCCUGGGUCUCUCCUUCCUCCAAAACUUCUUCCUUCAAAACUCCUUCCUCCGAAAUCCCUUUUGACCCUGCAGAUGAAUCCCCUCCGUAUUCUCAUCCCCCUGCAUCAUGAUGCUCCUCAUCUGUCUGAACUCUCUGCCCCGGUGUCCCGCCCUGCCCCCAAGCCCUCAGCCCCAAAUCCCACUCCUCCUCCUUCUCCACCUGCUACCCAUUCAAAAACCAUCUCUGCUAUUCUCUGUUUCUGAGAAGUGGCUAGGUUUGAAGGCACUGCUCGCAUUCAUAUGCCUUUUUCCAUGUCUGAUUUGUCACAGAUCAAACAGCAUCUGGGAUCUUUCCCGGAAAAUCCCCCUCAUUAUCUCAGGGAAUUCCUGGCACAUAACCUAAUCCUUUAAUUUAACUUGGCAUGAUAUUUAUAUAAUUCUAACUUCCACCCUCACCCCGAUGAAAAAGAGUGCUCAGCUUAAUUAAAAUGAAUAUCCAAGCUGAGUAUAUUCAAAAGGCCUUUAUGUUUUUCUCUUCAUAAAUCUUGUUUUCCUGGAAAAGGUUUUUUCCCAGUUAACUGAAUUACUUUUGUCCACUUUGUCUUCCCAUUCUUGGUGCAUGUAUGAAGAACACUAAAAUGACUUCUGGUGUCCUGGGACUCAUUGGGAAAACAGAAAAGGCACCAAAAAUCCUGUUUCAGGAAAAAUCUGUUUUCCUCACAGAACCCCUGGAAUUAGAGGUGGAUAAGUACUUCUCAAAAUCAUCUUUGUCUUCCAGCUAUACUUGUUUAUUAGGCCCUGGAAACUGUUUUCCUAGCCCUGUUUUGUUUUGUUUUUUUCUGAGAUGGAGUCUUGCUCUGUCACCAGGUUGGAGUGCAGUGGCACGAUCUCAGCUCA
rnacentral:lncRNA from 1 species